UCCAACAAUACAGAAUAGCCUAUCUGACAUAUGGAGGUGCACUUUUCAAACUUUCGGUAAAAAAAGCCGUGAGGUAUGGUUGUGAAGUUCAAACCUUUUCCCAAAAGGUUUGCAUGAUCAGUAUUUCAGGAAGCAAGUGAAAAACAGGACAGGUCAAGCAAUUGCAGUCAGGAGUCACGGAUAUUACAGAGGCAGCAGCGAUUUCCCCUUCAGUAACAGGAGGUUGGACUUGGUGGCAUUUGUGAUCCCUUUUAGCUCUAGAUCUGGCAUCUAGAGUGGACACAAAACUGGAGGAAGAGCAAGAAGAGAAGCAGAAUUAGAGCUGAUGGUCGGCUGAAGCAAGAGGACACGGGUACCUUGCCAUCUUGGUCCUGAGGUCUUUGGUACGGGCCCUGGAGGAGUGCCCGCCCCAACCCAGAAGGAGCAUCAGACAAUCAUAGGAGUAAGUUCAUUUUAGGGUUUCACUCUCUGUGGGGAAGAGAACUUUGGGGUCAAGUUGGGUACUGGCCAGCACUGUAUGAGAGAGAUUAAAGCCUUUGUGUACAUUGAGCCCAAGGGAGGGCUUUAGUUGACAUCUUUACUGACCCAUAAAAGUAAAUAGAGAGCAGGGUAGAUCUCUCGGGUAAGUCCUAU
rnacentral:lncRNA from 1 species